AUUGAACGCUGGCGGCAGGCCUAACACAUGCAAGUCGAGCGGAUGAAGGGAGCUUGCUCCUGGAUUCAGCGGCGGACGGGUGAGUAAUGCCUAGGAAUCUGCCUGGUAGUGGGGGAUAACGUCCGGAAACGGGCGCUAAUACCGCAUACGUCCUGAGGGAGAAAGUGGGGGAUCUUCGGACCUCACGCUAUCAGAUGAGCCUAGGUCGGAUUAGCUAGUUUGUGGGGUAAAGGCCUACCAAGGCGACGAUCCGUAACUGGUCUGAGAGGAUGAUCAGUCACACUGGAACUGAGACACGGUCCAGACUCCUACGGGAGGCAGCAGUGGGGAAUAUUGGACAAUGGGCGAAAGCCUGAUCCAGCCAUGCCGCGUGUGUGAAGAAGGUCUUCGGAUUGUAAAGCACUUUAAGUUGGGAGGAAGGGCAGUAAGUUAAUACCUUGCUGUUUUGACGUUACCAACAGAAUAAGCACCGGCUGACUUCGUG
rnacentral:rRNA from 1 species